UGCCGGCAUAGCUCAGCUGGUUAGAGCGAGGGAUUCAUAAGCCCUAGGUCGCUGGUUCGAAUCCAGCUGCCGGCAU
rnacentral:tRNA from 1 species